rnacentral:lncRNA from 1 species
CCCCAUCUCUACUAAAAAUACAAAAUUAGCUGGGCGUGGUGGCGCAUGCCUGUAAUCCCAGCAACUCGGGAGGCUGAGGCAUGAGAACUGCUUGAAACCGGGAGGCGGAGGUUGCAGUGAGCCGAGAGUGUGCCACUGCACUCCAUGCUGGAUGACAGAGCGAGACUGUCUCAAAAAAAAAAAAAAAAAGAUUUUAUUAACAAAGGGUCCCGCUGCAAAAUGACACAACACAACCAACAUCUGCAAACAGAGAACACCCAGCCAAGAGCACAGGCUUUGCAGCUGGCAGAUCCCAAAUCAUCACUUCAGGCCUGCUCGCUGGUCCCUGGACCUCGGGAACAUCGCUUUGCUGCUCUGACUUUCAUUCUUCCCUGCACAGAGAGGUCACGAUGCCUCUUCCCGGGGCUGCGAGGAAAAUGAUCUGCACUGGCGUGAGCAGAGAACCUCUCCUCAGCGGUGCUCAGUACAGGUUUGCUGCAGGGAUCUAGGCAGCAAACGGGGCUGUCCUCCGGAGCAGUCUCUGGAGGGCAGAUGCAGUCCCCGCCCUCUCUGAGCCCCAGUGUCUCGUCUCUCUAGUGGGGCACUGGCUGCCACCCUGGGCAGAAACUAUGGAGCAGAGGUGAGGCCUGGCGGAGGUCUGGUUCCUGACAGAGUCCCCAGAGCCUGGCCCAGGGAAGGUGUUCAGCAAAUGGCGACCACCACCUGCUGGCGCGUGAGAGCUCCUCGCCCUGUUGACUGUGACUGCAUCUGCUGUGUCUGGGGUGGACCUGUCCUGGCACACACUCAUCUCUGUGUACACACCCACCACACCCCACACCACACACCCACUCACCACACACCCACCACACCCCAUACCAUACACCCACUCACCACACACUCACCCCCACACACACCACACACCCACUCACCACUCACUCACCCCCACACACACCACCCACUCACCACACACUCACCCCCACACACACCACACGCCCACUCACCACUCACCCACACACACACCACCCACUCACCACACACUCACCCCC